CUGCUUGCUCCAGAGCUAUUGACCUCUUGCCCAGCCUCCCAGCUUCCUGAAUCCGUGAGAACAUUCAGUGAAUCAAUGAGGACAUCCACAACCUCAUUGAGUUCUCCUUUGCCCUUCCCGUUCCCUGCCUCAGUCACAAGACCCUCUCCACAUCUCUCACCCUGUCUUGCCUUGACGACCUGUCCAGGCCCAUCAUCCACCUGACCUAUAAACUUCAAACACUUUCUGGUGUUUCCUGCUUCCAAAUAUUCCUCAAAAUUGAGGAUCCUGAGUUGAAUAUCUGGAGUUCUCCUUUCUGAUUUCUAUAAUGGUCAACAUGCUCUAAGGCAGAUUUUCCAAGCAUUUCUGGACUUGCCAGAGACUUCCUCCCUUGGCAGGUCUGAAUCAGAAAAUUCACACGCUGGCUGGGCACGGUGGCUCAUGCCUUUAAUCCCAGCAUGUUGGGAUUACAGGUGUGAGCCACUGAGCCCAGCCAGAAUCUCUACUUUUAACACAUAUCCUGGAGAAUUCUUAUGAUCAAGUAUGUUGGAGGAAUAGCUAGAAUGCCUACUGGGGUGAUAACAGUUUUAAAAAGUAUUAUGUUUUACUUCUUCAUGUAUAUUUGCAUGUUUUCCUAACAGACCCUCAACGUUGCUAGAUGAUUGGCUAUAUGGAUGAUUUGACUGGGAGGUAGUGGCCCUAAUGGAGUAAUAAG
rnacentral:lncRNA from 1 species